rnacentral:lncRNA from 1 species
AAUUUUAAUGAGUUUAACAACAACUUUUUCAUCAUUUUCACAAUUCAAUCAAAUUUCUUGGGUUUAACAGCAACAUUUUCAUCAUUGACACAAUUCAAUCAAAUUCCAUGGGUUUAAAUAGCAAAUUUUUAUAAUUACACAAUUCAAUCAAUAUUUCAUAGGUUUAACAACAACAUUUCAUCCAUUCCACAUUUAAUCAAAUUCAAGGUUUAACAGCAAGAUUUUCAUCAUUCCACAAUUCAAUCAAUUUAAUGGUUUAACAACAACAUUUUCAUCAUUCAUAACUUUUAUCAAUUUCAUGGGUUUAACACAACAUUUUCAAUCAAAUUCACUCACAAAUCAAUCAAUUUUCAUGGGUUUAAUAGCACAAUUUUCAUCAUUUCCACAAUUAAUAAAUUUCAGGGUUUUCAAUAACAUUUUCAUCAUUCACACAAUUCAAUCAAUUUCAUGGGUUUUAACAAAAAAGUCUUCAUCAUUCACAACAAUUCAAUUGAAUUUUAUUGGUUUAAAACAACACAUUUUCAUCAUUCCCACAAUUCAUCAAUCAAUUCCAUGGGUUUAAUAGCAACGUUUUCUCAUUUACACUCAUUCAAUCAAAUUUAUGGUUUAAACAACAAUUUCAUCAUUCCCACAAUUCAAUCAAUUUUCAUGGUUUAAAAUAAACAUUUUCAUCAUUCCCACAUCUAAUUAAUUAUUGGUUUAAACACAUUUUUCAUCAUUCCACAAUUCAAUCAAUUCCAUGGGUUUAAUAGCAGUUUUCAUCAUUAACUCAAUUAAUCAAAUUUUAUGGUUUUAAGAGCAACAAUUUCAUCAUUCCCACAAUUCAAUCAAUUUUUACGGUUUAAACAUAACAUUUUCAUCAUUCCCACAAUUCAAUCAAAUUUCUUGGUUUAACACAACUUUUCAUCAUUCCCACAAUUCAAUCAAAUUCCAUGGGUUUAAUAGCAGCGUUUUCAUCAUUCACUCAUUCAAUCAAAUUUUAAUGUUUUAAGCCAACAAUUUCAUCAUUCCCAUCAAUUCAAUCAAUUUUUACGGGUUUAACAGUAACAUUUUCAUCAUUCCCACAAUUCAAUCAAAUUUCCUUGGUUUAACAACAACGUUUUCAUCAUUCCCACAAUUCAAUCAAAUUCCAUGGGUUUAAUAGCAGCGUUUCAUCAUUCACCAUUCAAUCAAAUUUUAAUGGUUUUAAGAGCAACAAUUUAUCAUUCCCACAAUUCAAUCAAUUUCACGGGUUUAACAAUAACAUUUUCAUCAUUCCCACAAUUCAAUCAAAUUUCAUGAGUUUAACAGCAACAUUUUCAUCAUUCCAAAAUUCAAUCAAAAUAUCAUGGGUUUAACAGUACAUUUUCAUUAUUCCCCAAUUCAAUCAAAUUCCAUGGGUUUAACAACAACAAUUUCAUCAUGCGCAUAAUUAAUCAAUUUUAUGAGUUUAACAACAACUUUUUCAUCAUUUUCACAAUUCAAUCAAAUUUCUUGGGUUUAACGCAACAUUUUCAUCAUUGACACAAUUCAAUCAAAUUCCAUGGGUUUAAUAGCAAGAUUUUAUAAUUACACAAUUCAAUCAUAUUUCAUAGGUUUAACAACAACAUUUCCACCAUUCCCACAAUUUAAUCAAAUUUCAAAGGUUUAACAGCAAGAUUUUCAUCAUUCCCACAAUUCAAUCGAAUUUAAUGGGUUUAACAACAACAUUUUCAUCAUUCAUAAACUUUUAUCAAAUUUCAUGGGUUUA